rnacentral:rRNA from 1 species
GGUGAGUAACACGUGGAUAAUCUACCCGACAAUCAGGGAUAACAUCUCGAAAGGAAUGCUAAUACUAAUAAGCCUACGCCCUCCUCGGAGGAAGUAGGAAAAGGUGGGGACCUUCGGGCCUGCCGUUGUCGGAUGAGUCCGCGGCCCAUUAGCUAGUUGGUAGGGUAAUGGCCUACCAAGGCUAUGAUGGGUAGCUGGUCUGAGAGGAUGAUCAGCCACACUGGAACUGAGACACGGACCAGACUCUACGGGAGGCAGCAGUGAGGAAUAUUGGUCAAUGGGCGCAAGCCUGAACCAGCCAUGCCGCGUGCAGGAUGACAGCCCUACGGGUUGUAAACUGCUUUUAUAUGGGAAGAAAAUGAUCUACGUGUAGAUAACUGACGGUACCAUAAGAAUAAGCAUCGCUAAC